rnacentral:rRNA from 1 species
AUUGAACGCUGGCGGCAGGCCUAACACAUGCAAGUCGAGCGGAUGAAGAGAGCUUGCUCUCUAAUUCAGCGGCGGACGGGUGAGUAAUGCCUAGGAAUCUGCCUGGUAGUGGGGGACAACGUUUCGAAAGGAACGCUAAUACCGCAUACGUCCUACGGGAGAAAGCAGGGGACCUUCGGGCCUUGCGCUAUCAGAUGAGCCUAGGUCGGAUUAGCUAGUAGGUGGGGUAAUGGCCCACCUAGGCGACGAUCCGUAACUGGUCUGAGAGGAUGAUCAGUCACACUGGAACUGAGACACGGUCCAGACUCCUACGGGAGGCAGCAGUGGGGAAUAUUGGACAAUGGGCGAAAGCCUGAUCCAGCCAUGCCGCGUGUGUGAAGAAGGUCUUCGGAUUGUAAAGCACUUUAAGUUGGGAGGAAGGGCAGUAAGCUAAUACCUUGCUGUUUUGACGUUACCAACAGAAUAAGCACCGGCUAACUUCGUGCCAGCCGCCGCCGUAACAC